rnacentral:rRNA from 1 species
CAACAGGGAUUGCCCUAGUAACGGCGAGUGAAGCGGCAACAGCUCAAAUUUUAAAUCUGGCUCCCCCGGGGUCCGAGUUGUAAUUUGCAGAGGGUGCUUUGGCGUAGGUAGCGGUCUAAGUUCCUUGGAACAGGACAUCACAGAGGGUGAGAAUCCCGUACGUGGUCGCCAACCUUCGCCGUGUAAAGCCCCUUCGACGAGUCGAGUUGUUUGGGAAUGCAGCUCUAAAUGGGAGGUAAAUUUCUUCUAAAGCUAAAUACCGGCCAGAGACCGAUAGCGCACAAGUAGAGUGAUCGAAAGAUGAAAAGCACUUUGGAAAGAGAGUCAAAUAGCACGUGAAAUUGUUGAAAGGGAAGCGCUUGCAGUCAGACUUGCCCGUAGUUGCUCACCCAGGCUCCUGCCUGGGGCACUCUUCUGCGGGCAGGCCAGCAUCAGUUUGGGCGGCCGGACAAAGACCUCUGUCAUGUAUCUUCCUUCGGGAUGACCUUAUAGGGGAGGUGUAAUGCGGCCAGCCCGGACUGAGGUCCGCGCUUCUGCUAGGAUGCUGGCGUAAUGGCUGUAAGCGGCCCGUCUUGAAACACGGACCAAGGAGUCUAACAUCUAUGCGAGUGUUUGGGUGUCAAGCCCGGGCGCGCAAUGAAAGUGAACGGAGGUGGGAACCUUAGGGUGCACCAUCGACCGAUCCUGAUGUCUUCGGAUGGAUUUGAGUAAGAGCAUAGCUGUUGGGACCCGAAAGAUGGUGAACUAUGCUUGAAUAGGGUGAAGCCAGAGGAAACUCUGGUGGAGGCUCGCAGCGGUUCUGACGUGCAAAUCGAUCGUCAAAUUUGGGCAUAGGGGCGAAAGACUAAUCGAACCAUCUAGUAGCUGGUUCCUGCGAGU